rnacentral:rRNA from 1 species
CUGGCGGCGUGCCUAACACAUGCAAGUCGAGCGAGAAGCUUAUGAUUGAGACUUCGGUUGAUUGAAUAAGUGGAAAGCGGCGGACGGGUGAGUAACACGUGAGUAACCUGCCCUUGAGUGGGGAAUAACACACCGAAAGGUGUGCUAAUACCGCAUAACAUAUGGAGUUCGCAUGAACACUAUAUCAAAGAUUUAUUGCUCAAGGAUGGGCUCGCGUCCGAUUAGGUAGUUGGUGAGGUAACGGCUCACCAAGCCGACGAUCGGUAGCCGGACUGAGAGGUUGAACGGCCACAUUGGGACUGAGACACGGCCCAGACUCCUACGGGAGGCAGCAGUGGGGAAUAUUGCACAAUGGGGGAAACCCUGAUGCAGCGACGCCGCGUGAAGGAUGAAGGUCUUCGGAUCGUAAACUUUUGUCUUCAGGGACGAUAAUGACGGUACCUGAGGAGGAAGCCACGGCUAACUACGUG